rnacentral:rRNA from 1 species
GACGAACGCUGGCGGCGUGCUUAACACAUGCAAGUCGAACGGAAAGGCCUUUUCGGCGGUACUCGAGUGGCGAACGGGUGAGUAACACGUGGGUGAUCUGCCCUGCACUCUGGGAUAAGCCUGGGAAACUGGGUCUAAUACCGGAUAGGACCGCACUUUAGUGUGUGUGGUGGAAAGUUGUUUCGGUGUAGGAUGAGCCCGCGGCCUAUCAGCUUGUUGGUGGGGUAAUGGCCUACCAAGGCGGCGACGGGUAGCCGGACUGAGAGGUUGGUCGGCCACAUUGGGACUGAGAUACGGCCCAGACUCCUACGGGAGGCAGCAGUGGGGAAUAUUGCACAAUGGGCGCAAGCCGAAUGCAGCGACGCCGCGUGGGGGAUGACGGCCUUCGGGUUGUAAACUCCUUUCGCCAGGGACGAAGCGUUUUGUGACGGUACCUGGAGAAGAAGCACCGGCUAACUACGUG